UUAGUUUACUAUUGGAGCGGUUAGUGGCGGACUGGUGAGUAACACGUAAGCAACCUGCCUAUCAGAGGGGAACAACAGUUAGAAAUGACUGCUAAUACCGCAUAUACCCAAGUGUCACAUGGCACAAUGGGGAAAGGAGCAAUCCGCUGAUAGAUGGGCUUGCGUCUGAUUAGGUAGUUGGUGAGGUAACGGCCCACCAAGCCGACGAUCGGUAGCCGACCUGAGAGGGUGAUCGGCCACAUUGGGACUGAGACACGGCCCAAACUCC
rnacentral:rRNA from 1 species